rnacentral:rRNA from 1 species
UACCAGCACCCCGAGUGGUCGGGACGUUUUAUUGGGCCUAAAGCAUCCGUAGCCGGUUCUACAAGUCUUCCGUUAAAUCCACCUGCUUAACAGAUGGGCUGCGGAAGAUACUAUAGAGCUAGGAGGCGGGAGAGGCAAGCGGUACUCGAUGGGUAGGGGUAAAAUCCGUUGAUCCAUUGAAGACCACCAGUGGCGAAGGCGGCUUGCCAGAACGCGCUCGGACGGUGAGGGAUGAAAGCUGGGGGGGGCAAACCGG